rnacentral:rRNA from 1 species
UACGUAGGGGGCAAGCGUUGUCCGGAAUCAUUGGGCGUAAAGAGCGUGUAGGCGGCUUGGUAAGUCCGCUGUGAAAGUCCAGGGCUCAACCCUGGAAUGCCGGUGGAAACUGUCAGGCUCGAGUCCGGAAGAGGCGAGUGGAAUUCCUGGUGUAGCGGUGAAAUGCGCAGAUAUCAGGAGGAACACCGGUGGCGAAGGCGGGUCUCUGGGCCGUAACUGACGCUGAGGAGCGAAAGCGUGGGGAGCGAACAGG